rnacentral:rRNA from 1 species
UACGGGGGGGGCAAGCGUUGUUCGGAAUUACUGGGCGUAAAGGGCUCGUAGGCGGCCAACUAAGUCAGACGUGAAAUCCCUCGGCUUAACCGGGGAACUGCGUCUGAUACUGGAUGGCUUGAAUCCGGGAGAGGGAUGCGGAAUUCCAGGUGUAGCGGUGAAAUGCGCAGAUAUCAGGAGGAACACCGGUGGCGAAGGCGGAUCUCUGGGCCUUACCUGACGCUGAGGCGCGAAAGCUAGGGGAGCAAACAGG